GGGGCCGAUUUUGGAUUUGACAGCAAGAGAAAUGGUUAAGUAAGCAUGUCGAGUGUUGUGAAUACUCUCGUAAAAUUGAAUUCUCAAGUCUAUAAACGACAACAACAACUACAGGCUUGCAGCUUAAUCACCGAGUGAUUAAGCUUAAUCUUGCAGAUUAGAUUUGUAAGACAAGCUACCCAGCUAUAACUACCUGUUCAGCGGUUAUAGUAACCGGGUACCGUUGGUCUGAACUAAGUGAUGUAAAGUCUUGGUGCAUCAACUAAAAUUUAAGAGACUAAGAGUAGGUUAGGGUGUUUGUGCUCAGACUUACUUCGACAAUUAAUCACAAAAUAAACAUGUAGAAAUCUUGGUUGUUCCUUGUUUGGACGAGGGUUCGAAACCCUCCGGCUCCACUA
rnacentral:tmRNA from 1 species